CGUAUUUACAGUGAUAUAAGUAUAAAAUUUGCAUCGCAUAUAGCUCACAUUCUGGGUUUCAAUCCAAAUUUUCGCUACACCGUCUACUUUCAAAGAUCUGGCGACGGCAUUUCAUCUUCCGACGCCAGCGAAGCUUCCUCCUCAUCACCCAUAAAAUUAUUCGCUCAAUACGUACCGCGAGCUGAUGCAGGGACGGAUUAUAUGUACGUUUAUACCGACAUCAUUUCCCCCUCGCGAUUUGGCAACCAACUAGUUAAUAUAUUAGACGUCAUACCACUCCCCGGCGACAGCACCAGUAAAGGUGCGAAUUCAAUUACGUAUAAACCACUUUCUGCAUCAACUAUAGAGAGUGUGGCCAUCAAAAUUGCUAAUCAAAGAGGCAAACCUAUUCAGUUUGAAGAUGGGGAAAACAGUGUUACUUGCGUGUUACAUAUAAGACCACGUUAACUUUGCGUCUCGGACGUAAAGUUUUGAAGAGAAUCGAUCAAGGUGGGAUAAUGGGUGGAGUGGAGGAUAAUGAAACAGGCAGGUGUUGCCUACUUCCGAGUCAAGGCACGCGCCUCGCGACCAUCUGCGCGGGAAGCUUCAGUGUUUCCCCGCGCGGCAUGGCGGCCGGGACAAAGUGUUGACAAUGUUAUAGAAUAAAAAAGAAAAGAAAAUAUGUGUUCACUGUGGAACAGCAGAGGCGCGGAUUUUAUGUGAAGUGUGUGGGAGAUGGCGCACUAAUCCAUCCUGCCCCUCAUGUGUGGAAGACCAGUGUGAUUUAUGCGAGCGGUGUGGACUUCUGUUUCCACAUCCACCGCCAGAACACACCUGCGAAGUUGGCAAUCCUGCUUCUUCUGGCUCACACUCGAUUGAGGUUGAGCAGAACGCCGGCGUAGAAGGCCCACGUCGGCGGUCGUCACAAGGCGACAUCCCACGCGGAGGUGGGGGAAGAGGUGAGAAAAAAAAAAAAAUACUACAAAUAAUAAAGCAAUAAAUACGGUGCCACCGCCACUACUAAUAUUCUUUUUUUUUAAGACUCGCCACGGCCGGGACCGAGUGGAUUAUCGGGGAACGUAUUCAAUUCUUCCGAGACUUCAAGUCCUUCACUACCUACACAAGACACGCCACAAGCGGAGGCGGACCACGAUGAGCGCAGCAUGGCAGGAGAGUCGGCGGAUGCAGACCUUGACGAGCGCGGGAUGCCGGAAGAGCCGCGGUUAAUUGACUCGAGGGAAAAUUUUAUGAGGAGCUUCACCAGACAUCAAUAUGACAUACCUGAUCAUGUAAGCAGAGAUCCACUCGGUCUACUUACCGAAUACAGGGAGUUCUUUAUACGGGAAAUUAGAUCAUAUUUCACGUCACACGGCUCGCCAUUCCCCCCCACCCUGAAAAUAUUUUCA